AGAGCUCACCCUCUCUGAAGGAGAGCAGGUGCCUCCUGAGAGCAGGGCUUCUCUACCUUGGGGCACUAUGAACAUUCUGAGUGGGGUAAGUGUUUACUGUGGGAGGCCCUAUUCAUGGCAGGAGGUUUAGCAAUCUCCCUGGCCUCUAGCCACUAGAUGACAAUAGCACCCCUGCCACACCCACUGUGUAACAACCAAAAAUGUCUCCAGACAUUGCCAAAUGCCCCCUGGGUCGGGGACGAGAGGGCAAAAGCAGCCCCAGUUGGGAGCCACUGCUUUAGAGAAUGGAGCUUGGAGCUGAUUUCUGGGACAAAUCCCAUGGGAUAGCCAGGACGUGCACCUGGGUAAGGCUGGAGGAGGGUAUGAAAAAGGGGAGGGCUUAGGCCCUGACCAGAAAGCAUCCCAGUACCGGGUAGAGAUGAGGACCCCAAGUAGUGCUAAGUGGCAGCACUGCAGAUGCAGAGGGUUGGAGCAUGGCUUCAUGGGAGGUGGUGUUCCUGGAGGAGGUGAGAAGUAGGCUGGCCUCAGGCAAGGAGGUGGAGGGGAUACUCCAGGUGUUGGAAACAGCCUGAGCAAGGGCCCUGGGGUAUGAAGUGAGCGUGAGACCGUAUGAAGAUCAGACACAGGCUGGGAUCUGUCAGGGCAGGAAAUGGAAAUAAUAUUAAUAGCAAUAAACUGUGACCUUGAUUUUUGAGUAAUGGCCAUGUGCCACAUUCUGUUCUGAGCAGGUUACUCGUGUCAUUUCAUUUAGUCCUCAAAAAUCUCUACAAGGUAGAUUUGAUUAUUAUUCUCAUCUUGCAAGUGAGGAAACCACGGCCUCCAGAUGUUUCGGGGUUCACCAGUGCACACAGCCUAUAAAGGCAGGUUCACACUUCAAAGCCAGGCUAUUGACCUGGCUUCACUCCUUGCCCUCAGAGCCACACCCCUCUGGGUGGGCUUGGGAGGGUGAACACAGCAGCCUUCUCCUAAUUCCCUGAAGGUGGGAUCAGGGCUAAUCCAUCAAGCGAAUGAAUGAACACAUGAAUAAGUGAAUGCAUGAAUAGAGAAAGACUCUGGUCUGCUGUGUGUCCUGCUCCUCAGGCAGAAAUCACCUUCCCACCCUACUCCUGGCCCCACCCAGCACCCCCAGCUCUCUCCCUAGGUACUCUUUCACUUUGGAAACAUUCACAGGGCUUGGAGCAUGCUCUGGCAUGAGAGCCCCACGAAAUGCGGGUUUUCUUUGAUCCCCUAGCUGGGUCAUGUAGAAAGAAGAGAAAGAGAGAAAGAUCUAGACAC
rnacentral:lncRNA from 1 species